rnacentral:lncRNA from 1 species
GUGUGUAUAAUGUGUUAGAAUCAGUAUUACAAUUAACUUGGGUCAAUGUUUUAUUGCAUAAUGAAAACGUGAACUUAUCACCCCAAAAAAAAUGUGAACAUAAAAGAACCUUUUGGAGGAAAUAAAUGGUUGCAUGGGUGAGUAAGCCAAUUAAUGAUUUGGAGUUAGCUAGAUAGAGGAUGAACAACUUCUUGUGGAUGCUUUUCGUUGCAAGUGAGCCAACAAAACCAAAUCAUUUAUACUUAGAUUUAUGGAUGAAUUGGAUCUGGACUUGCCCAUUGUUCAUCUUGCCAUGGCCUGCAAGAUGCUACAACUUGAGAAUAAGCAACCAAAAUGGUGAAGAUGGUCAUAAGAAUAAUUGAGAAAAGCACCCUCCAAAAAGACAAAGACAUGCCUAUGAUUCUUUCUAUGAUGAAAUUAAAUGGGAAAAAAGUUGAUCUAGCUUCGAGUACUUUUAAGUCUCUAGUUGUUUUGCUUUUGUUAUUGG